UGGUAAAUAUUCACCUUCACUGUGAAGUAAUUCAGUUACUAACUCUGUUACUUUUUGGGAGAAGUAACUAACAAUAACUAAUUACUUUUUGUAAAGCGUCUGUUCCAUGUGCUGAAACUACGACCCUAUACGGACCAAGCAGGAAAGAAGAUGGAUGCAUCAAAGAAUAACAAGGUGAUCGUCUGACCCCAUCCUCAUGUCCUGAUGUCCCCGUGUCCUCUUGUCCUCUUGUCGUGUCCCGUGCCGCAUGCAGCUCUCUUAAUUGUUGUCAGAUGCCAGAUGAGCUUCAUGCUGUGACGAUCCUGUCAACCUCUUCAAAUAGUCAUCAUUGAUGGAGAAAAUUCUUGCCGGAUGUGAGGGUCUAAGGCGGUGG